rnacentral:rRNA from 1 species
UACAGAGGGGGCGAGCGUUGUUCGGAAUUACUGGGCGUAAAGGGCGCGUAGGCGGCCUGCUAAGUCGAACGUGAAAUCCCCGGGCUCAACCCGGGAACUGCGUCCGAUACUGGUGGGCUUGAAUCCGGGAGAGGAUGGCGGAAUUCCCAGUGUAGAGGUGAAAUUCGUAGAUAUUCGCAAGAACACCAGUGGCGAAGGCGGCUCACUGGCCCGAUACUGACGCUGAGGUGCGAAAGCGUGGGGAGCAAACAGG